UCGCCUGCUCGGAGCACGCCAGAGCGAGCGGACGUCCCAGCCAUGCUCGAGGCGGUGGGCUCCCUGGCAGCCGCCCUCUGGGCCGCCGUCCACGUCCGGACCCUCCUGCUGGGCACCGUCGCCUUUCUGUUCUUUGCUGACUUUUUCAAAAGGCGGCGACCAAAAAACUACCCGCCGGGGCCCUGGCGCCUGCCCUUCCUUGGCAACAUCUUGCAUUUGGACUUCGAGCAGUCGCACCUGACAAUUCAGCGGUAUGUGAAGAAAUACGGGAACGUUUUUAGCAUGGAUAUGGGUGACAUGUCUUCAGUUCUUAUUACUGGGUUGCCCUUAAUCAAAGAAGUCCUUAUUCACAUGGACCAAAAUUUUAUGAACCGCCCAAUGACCCUCCUCCGAGACCGUGUCUUUAAGAAUAAUGGAUUGAUCAUGUCGAAUGGCCAGAUAUGGAAGGAGCAAAGAAGAUUCACCCUGACAGCACUAAGAAACUUUGGUUUAGGAAAGAAGAGCUUAGAGGAACGCAUUCAGGAAGAGGCCCAUCACCUCACUGAGGCAAUUAAAGAGGAGAACGGACAGUCUUUUAACCCUCACUUCAAGAUCAACAAUGCAGUUUCCAAUAUCAUUUGCUCCAUCACCUUUGGGGAGCGCUUUGAGUACCAGGAUGGUCAGUUUCAGGAGCUGCUAAAGUUAUUGGAUGAAGUCACAUGUAUGGAGGCUUCAAUGAGGUGCCAGCUCUACAAUAUCUUUCCACGGAUAAUGAAAUUCCUGCCCGGACCCCACCAAACUCUCAUCAGCAAGUGGGAAAGAUUGAAAUUGUUUGUUUCUCAUGUGAUUGAAAAACACAGGAGAGAUUGGAAUCCUGCAGAAACAAGAGACUUUAUUGAUGCUUACCUCAAGGAAAUGACAAAGCACACGGGCAAUGCUGCUACGAGUUUCCAUGAAGAAAACCUCAUUUGCACCACCUUGGACCUGUUCUUUGCUGGAACUGAGACAACUUCCACCACGCUGCGCUGGGGUCUGCUUUACAUGGCCCUCUACCCAGAAAUCCAAGAAAAAGUCCACGAUGAGAUUGACAGAGUGAUUGGCCGGUGGCAGCAGCCAAGCACAGCCGCCCGGGAGUCCAUGCCCUACACCAACGCCGUCAUCCAUGAGGUGCAGAGAAUGGGCAACAUCAUCCCCCUGAACGUUCCCAGGGAAGUGGCAACUGACACCACUUUGGCUGGAUACCACCUGCCCAAAAGCAUCCCAUCAGACUAGGGACCUGCUAGACUUUGGCAAAUUCUGCUUCAUAAUCCUGGGUUUAUAGAAUAUUAAAAUAUGAAAGGACGUUUGAGACAGGACAUUUGAGACCACCUGGGCCAACGUUACAUUAAUGAUGUGUUUUUAGCAUAACAGCCCCACAGGGGACCAUGGUCCUGACCAAUUUGACUGCACUGCACAAAGACCCUGCAGAGUGGGCCACUCCUGACACCUUCAAUCCAGAGCAUUUUCUGGAGAACGGACAAUUUAAGAAAAGGGAAGCCUUUCUGCCUUUCUCAAUAGGAAAGCGGGCAUGCCUCGGAGAACAGCUGGCUAAGUCGGAGCUGUUUAUUUUCUUCACGUCCCUCAUGCAAAACUUUACCUUCAAGCCCCCAAGCCAUGAGAAGUUGAGCCUGAAGUUCAGAAUGGGCCUCACCGUUUCCCCAGUCAGCCACAGCCUCUGUGCUGUUCCUCGGGCGUGAUGUCGUCAGGGAAGGAAAGGGGAAAGCAAAGUAAGAAGACAUGGCAUGUGUUCUAAAGCCCCUGUGUUGCCUGCUCAGACGUGGGGCGGGGGGGGCAAAAUGAAAGUGUCUCUGAAGAAAGAUCAGAGGAAUUGGACUCACAGGAAACUAGAUCCCAAUCUCAGCUCUGCCAUCUCCUCCAAAUUUGCCUUGGGAAAAUCACUUGUGUUCUAAACGAUUUACCUUUUCAUCCAGGAGAUGAAAAGAGGAUAACGAUUCCUUCCCUAAAGAAAGUUCUUGUAAGGAUCAAAGGAAAUAGUAGACUUUAAGUGGUCUGUAAACCAUAAAGCACAUCAUAAA